CCUACGGGAGGCAGCAGUGGGGAAUAUUGCGCAAUGGGCGAAAGCCUGACGCAGCGACGCCGCGUGAGGGAUGAAGGUCUUCGGAUCAUAAACCUCUGUCAGCAGGGAAGAACGGUCACUGUGCUAAUCAGCAGUGAAUUGACGGUACCUGCAAAGGAAGCACCGGCUAACUCAGUGCCAGCAGCCGCGGUAAUACGGCGGGUGCGAGCGUUAAUCGGAAUUACUGGGCGUAAAGCGCUCGUAGGCGGUACGUCAAGUCAAGGGUGAAAUCCCCGCGCUCAACGUGGGAACUGCCUUUGAAACUGGCAAACUUGAGUGUGUGAGAGGAUAGUGGAAUUCCAGGUGUAGGAGUGAAAUCCGUAGAUAUCUGGAGGAACAUCAGUGGCGAAGGCGACUAUCUGGCACAUAACUGACGCUGAGGAGCGAAAGCGUGGGUAGCAAACAGGAUUAGAUACCCGAGUAGUC
rnacentral:rRNA from 1 species